GGGGGAUUGGGGGGCAAAAUUUCUCUUCAAAGUUUGAAUGGUGCCAAUCACAUUAAUUGUGAUGCCCAAUGCGGAUUCUUUGGAGAGAUCACGAAUAAUGCUAAUGACGUAAAAAUAAGUGGAAUGAAUGUAUGCAAUGUGAGAAUAUGAGUUUGUGUGAAGUGAAAAAAAGUAAUAAAAGAUAAUGGUGUAUAAGUGGGAGUGUGCAAAUGAGUGUGCAAUGUAAGGUGAGUAAAGUGAUAGUAUGAAGUGCACGUGAUAGCAUAUAAAGUGCUAGUGGUAGAGUGAGAAUGUGUAAGAUAAGAGUCAUGUGCAAUAUGAAAUGCAUGAGCCCUAGAGGAAUGCAAGCAAGACAGGUACGGGGGACUAAUGUUCGUGACUUAAUUUUCCUUUUGGUUAGAAAAAGAAUGAGCGUGCUAAGGCUAUGUAUAGCCAAACUCGUCCAUCCCCCUUACCAAAAGAGUGACUCCCUAACCUAUACAAGCAAAUGAGCUAAUCUAAAUGAAAAUGUAAUCCUAUAUGUGUAAGGGAAAGGGAGUGAAGGGUCAUGCAAAAAAUGUAAAACUAAAAGGAAAGAAUGAAUGAAGAUGUAGUGAAGGCAUGCGAGUAUGUGCUAGCGAGAAGGGCCCUAUUGGGUCUAGCAUUGGACUAGCCCUUUACUAACGCUCGUUUACAAGCAUUGGACUUGUAAGAGCUCGAGGGGACAAUCAUGACUAGCAUUGGACUAGCCACGGUUACGUGCAUUUGCAUCCAUCAUACACGUAUAUAAGUAAUAUGUAUAAUUAAAGCAAGUAGGCAUGUGAGCACAUAAUUCACGUAACAUAUAAGCAUGCAUAUCUAGAUGCCAAAACCUAAGAAAACGAUUAAACACAUAGCACAUAGACAUGCAAAACACAUAAGGCAAUUAAGGCCCUAACUAUUACAUUUUUAGGGGGGAAGGCCUACUACAAUCUAAAAGGGGAAACAGAAUGAAAUGAAUAAUUUUAAAAAAAUCUAACUAUUACAAUUGUGGCAUUCAAGUGCCUUCCCAAAUGAUCAAAAAGGAACUUAAAUAAAUAUACGAAAAUAAGCAAAUAAAGCGAUAAAUAAAUAAGUAAAUAAAAACAUUCAAAAGGCAUGCAAUUGAGCACAUAUAGUCACAUAAGCUCACAUAGGGUCAAAUAAAGUCAAAAAAUAAAGGAUAAGAUGUACCUCCCUUGAGUUGGAGCUCUAAUGGGGUGAAAUGACUUAUUUACCCUCCAAAAAUAAAGAAAAGGUCAAGGCACCAAUUUAAUUUGAGACAAUUAAAGAAAAAAUGCAACUAACAAACUCACUUGAUCAUAAGCUCUUAAAAUCAUGAAUUAAGUGCAAUUUAAACAAAGCAGGGUAGUUGAUUGAAGCAAACAAGUAAUGAAAAGUUAUAAAAUUAGAGCUGCCAAGGACCAAAUUGAGGAAAUUAUUCAAUUGGUUAGGUCAUAGUAGCAUUAACCAAAAGCCAAAGGGAUGAAAUGCAAUUCUUGAAACCUUUUCCAUGCAAACCAUGCAAACUAAUACGAAGAAAGCUUCUGCAACUACUUCAUAUACUCUUGCAACCGAGAAAGAAAAUCUGCUGCAUUCCUUCCUCAACCGAGACUGGUUGCAAAUUUUCCAACAAAUGUUCUAACAUGAUUCAAAUGUUUCAGACCUACACAUGCAAACCCAACUCGCUCACCCAAUUUUCUCUCAUCAAGUAGGUAAUGAGACCCACUUGGUGGGCCGUUACGGGAGAGGAAACAGCAAAACAGGAGCAUGAAAUGCAGCUUUCUUAUUUCCCUACCUCAACUUAGAUAGGUUUACAUGCCAGUAUUCGACAAACUCUGGUAAUCUAACAUUCAAACCAAACUACCAAGCUUCAACUCAUUGUCAUUAACAUCCCCAAGCAUAAUCAUCUAACCCCCAUAACAUAUGAUUGAAACAGUCGGGCACGAAAUGCAGCAAAAGAAACAGUGAAACUUGCGGCAAAGCAAUCUAUGCACACGAUCAAGUCAUUCCAUUGGGGUAAAUAAGUGAAACUGGACCACAAACCAAAGACAUACAGCUUCACCUUGGUUCAAACAUAGCAUCAAAACUACAAGCCCUUCCUAGCUUCUGGUUUACCAAGACUUUGGCAAAUAAAAUCAUUCCAACACUACCAACUCACUCACUAUCAAAACAUUGGACCCCAAAGGAAAAGACAAUGAAAGCGUCUGAACUAAUGGGUAUGGAUACCAGCUUCAGCUAGAACAGCCGAAGUUUCUAAGACAUAAAAAAAAACUCUGUUGCCGUAACAGACCUGCCGCAUUGUAGUCUGAUGCUACAUCGCAUCUUGCGGCUUAAAAUUGCAGCAGAGCAUACACGACACUGCUAUCAUACAGCAGGUCAAUCCAAACACAAAACAAAACUGAGUCAAGCAAGAAAUUCAGUCACCAGAAAAAAAUCAAAAUGAACAGAUCAUACAACUCUUCUUCGUUGGUUUCCUCUACAGCAACUUAUUCAGUCAUUUCUCGCAAUUUCAAACGCAAACCAGCAAAUUUAUUACCCAAAAUUCAUUAAACUUCAAUACUAACACAACCUCACUAUAGGAGAUCAGUCAUUACAAAUCAAACAAAGAACCAAAUGGGUGAACAUGCAACGACAGAGAAACGAAAUCAGCUUUCUAAAGAACCCUGGAGGCGUUUGUCAAAGGCUAACAUCUUGAUACUAAACUAUAACCUAGGAAUCAAAAAAUCAAACAGACUGUAGAUCCUAACAUGCUAAUCAUGCAACGUAACAGCCAAAGAUAACAGCUUUAGGCUAAAAAUCAUAACCAACAAUAUGCCUCCCAUUGCCUUCCAACAAAAUCAAGAGUUCUGAAUACAAGCAUGGAAAGGAUAACGUUAACAGAUGGAGAGAGUAAUAUACCUGGACAGCCGGAAAAAGGGAUUAGAUUGAAACGAUCUUUAGCAAACACCUUUGCCUCUCCGCGAUGAUGGAAAACGGACGAGGGCCGUGGGUUUCUUCUUCCUCAAUCACUUUUCUUUUGCUCAGUUCCGUCUCUCUCCAACUCCCUCUCCCUUUUUCUUAAUCUCCGCCGCAACUCCAGCUCUUGGGUUUUUCCUUUUCUUCUUGCUUCUGACCUCUCUCUCAAAGCUGCAUUUCUUGUUCUCAAGAACCCCAGCCGCCACUCUCUUCACUCACUCUCUUUUCGGAAGCUCUCCCCCUAGCUCUCUUUUCCCCUUGCUCAACCCAGCCGUCAUCCAACCUCUAUCUGGUUUCUGUUUUUCAAUCCCCCAAAGACCUAGUCUUUUCUUUCUGUUUUGCCGCUCCUUUUCUUCUUUAUCUCACACUCUCUCUCGACCGCUGUUUUCUCUAUUCUCUCAACCUCCCCCAGCCGUCACCAAAAAGCUCCCCAAUCGGCUGUGUUUUCUGUUCUAUUUAUACCAAAGACACCACUCUCAAACCCUCACCUCAAAGGUGAGGAUGAGAGUGGAGGUUUGCAGGGCAUCUAGGGCCAUCCGAUGGAUGUUUCCCUAGAAAGAUUAAAAAUGAAUGGAAACCAAAUGGAGCUGCAAUCCCUUUCGUACUGAUGCCGCAUGCAUGGACCUCUUUUUUUUCAAUUAAUUAAUUAAACAAAAAUACAAAAUGACAGCUUAAACUUAAAUAAAAUGUAGAAACUAGCAACAAAAGAUAAAACUAAAAAACUAAGAUUUUUCUUCUUUUUUUUUCUCUUAUUUUCGAUUUUUUCAAUAAAAAUAAAUAAAACAUAUUUUUCCCUAAUUUUCUCUUUUUUUUGGCAAAAAAUUAUGCUAAAAAGUCUUAUAAAAAAUAAAUAGCUAAAAGAGUAAAAAUGAAUACAAAAAUAAAACUAAAAAUAAAAAAUGAUAGAUAAUAAUAAUCAAAAAUACUAAAAUGCUUAUACAAAAGCUAAAAGUCUAAGAACUUAAAAUCAUGGAAUUGAGAGAAUUAUUACUAAAACUAAAAAUAAAAUUAGGAUAAAAAUAAAAUUAUUUAAAAUUUGGUGUCUACAGUUUGCCCCUCUUUGUCUGAAUUUUGGAAAAACUUGAGACAAAAAAAUAGACACCAAAUACUUACCUGCAAACUAGUCAAACGACCGCCGUUCUUGAAAUGAGGAAUGACCCAGACAAGAAAUUUAAACAUGGGACUGGCCCGAAUAUGAAAUUUAAAGCGGGAAUGACCUGAACGAAUUUAAAUCAUGGGACUGACCCGAACAAAUCUUAAAUCAUGGGGCUGACCCGAACAAAAUAAAAUCAUGGGACUGACCCGAAUAAAAUUUAAAAUCAUGGGACUGACCCGAACAAAAUUUAAAUCAUGGGACUGACCCGAAUGAAAUUUAAAAUCAUGGGACUGACCCGAAUAAAAUUUAAAAUCAUGGGACUGACCCGAAAAAAAUUUAAAAUCAUGGGACUGACCCGAACAAAAUUAAAAAUCAUGGGACUGACCCGAAUAAAAUUUAAAAUCAUGGGACUGACCCGAAUAAAAUUAAAAUCAUGGGACUGACCCGAACAAUUUAAAAUCAUGGGACUAACUCGAAUAAAAUUUAAAAUCAUGGGACUGACCCGAACAAAAUUUAAAAUCAUGGGACUGACCCGAAUAAAAUUUAAAAUCAUGGGACUGACCCGAAUAAAAUUAAAAUCAUGGGACUGACCCGAAUAAAAUUAAAAUCAUGGGACUGAUCCGAACAAUUUAAAAUCAUGGGACUGACCCGAAUAAAAUUUAAAAUCAUGGGACUGACCCGAACAAAAUUAAAAUCAUGGGACUGACUCGAAUAAAAUUUAAAAUCAUGAUAUGCCAAUAAACUUACCUGAAAAAGUGCUCAAAGCUUUGCCCCAGUAGAGGUUAAGUUUUUGCAUCCGAGCCUAUAGUUAAUUCUGCAUUGCUAUGUUGUUGCACCUUUUGAGCAAAUUUGCUUGUGACAUUUUCGAUCCGUCUUUGUUCACACGAAAUUUUCUGCAAAAGAGAAAAGGUAAAGAAAAGUGCCACCAUCAUUUGAUUCGUUUGCCCUUGAGAAUCAUGUAAACAUGAGUCUUUUGAUGCCUUCACCAACUUUUGCUGCGGCAUCUGACUUAGUUGGAUUUGUCGAUUCCAAACAUCUCUGCUUUUCCAGACUGACGGGCGUGCAUUUUGCCAUAUUGUCAAACUUGCGUAACUAGCUUUGUUGAACUUUAACCCUUUUCAAGAGAUGACUGAAUCCAAGUAUGCUUUGAGUAAACCACGGGGAUUGUUAUUCACCAAAAUUUAAUGACCAAGAAUGAUGUAUGCAAGGUAACUUCACAUGUCAUACAGGAAUGAAUAUGCAAAAGAAUGUAAAACACAACCAACUGUGCUUGAUCCUACAAAAUGCCAUGAAUACAAGCAAUUGAGGAAAAAUAAGUUUCAUAAGAAUGCAUUUGCAAAAGAAUAUUUUUUACAAAGUGACACAGUUUUGGCCAAUGGAUGUCGUAUUCAAAUCCCUGGAUAUCCUUGUUCCGGAAUUCGACACUGGUAGAAGUAUUUCGAAGAGAAAUCCCAAAUGAACCAAAUCACCAACUAUUCCUCCUCGUGCUUGCUUAUUGAAGAAACCUACCUUGGCGCCCUUUCGGAUUUUCACCAAGAUUGCCCCACACCCUUUUGUUUUUGUUUUUCUUUUCUUUUCUUUUCUUCUUUCUCUCCCUUUUUUAUGAGGUGCCCUUUCGGGUUUUUACCUAAGAAAGCAAUGGAAGAGCUCGACCAUAAUUGACUCAUGAAUGUAAGUUGAAGAUUGCUGGCAUCAGUAAAAUGCGCUUCCCUUAUAAACUUAGGCGAAGGCAUCAUGGACAUCACUUGCCAGUUGAUUAGCAAACUUCCCAAUAGAAAUAUAGCAAGUGACGAAAGCAAGGACUUUGGGCUUUGUAAUGAGGUCAGGUAGGGUAUUUUCAAGAAAAGUUGAGACUUGAAAGCAAAUCUUGAUGAGAGAGGUGUGAAAUAACCUGUGAUUGCAUCAUUUUGAGAUUAUUUCCAAUUUUUGAACGAAACCGAGGAAAAUUUGCCCCCAGUUUGAUUGAAUUUCUCUCUUUGCAUUUUUCAUUGCAUUUCCUCACUUUUGCAUUUUCCUUUUAAGACUAAAUUUACCCCAAUGUGGGGUUUUCUGCCUUCUUUUUCCUUUUACCUUUUGAUCAUCUCAUCUCAAAAUAAAUUUACCCCAGUGUGGGGGUUUUCUUUCUUCUUUUCCCUCUUGAUCAUCUUUUCUCAAAAUAAAUUUGUCCCAGUGUGGGGUUUGCAAUUCUCAGGGGCUGCCAAACGAAAAUUAUUGUUCUGAUAGCUCAAAGGGGAUAACGAGAGAUGAAAUGUUUUGAUUGGAAAGGAAGAUGGCCUGACUUUUGUUUCGCCCCUUGCAUGAUUUUCAAAAGAAAUUUGCAUAAUCAAAAAUAAAAACUUCUUACACAUGUCUGAGUUGAUAGGUUGAGGGAAUGUUUGUCCAUCCAAAUGUUUCGCCCGGCAACACCUUUUGAACGACCAAUGAGCCUUGCCAGUUUGAAGCGAAUUCGUCUUUGGCUUCAUCUUUCAUUGGCAAAACUCGUUUUAACUCUUUGUCCCCUUCUCCAAAGGAUCGGUGGCGGACAUAGGCCAUGCGUUGUGGUAACAUUGGCCAUGGCACAUGGCAUUCAGCUGCUUUUCAUCAAUCAGAAUCAAUCGUCGGUGACACUUCUUUAACCAAUCAGUUUCGAACUUGGCAGAGAAGGAAUUUUCUCAAUGAAGGGAUUUUUCAAUGAAGGCUUUCUCAAUGAAAGGAUUCUUAAUGAAGAGAUUUUCUUAAUGAAGGGGUUUUCUCAAUGAAGGGAUCUUCAAUGAAGGAAUUUUCAAUGUUCGGCUUCAUCGAAUUCCAGAACAGUGAUAUUCAAAUGGUCAAAUAAUUUCAUCUUUGGCCAUCUUAAAAGAAUUAAAAAAUCAGGACAAUAAUCAAAUAAAUAAAACAAAUUGUGCAUUUCAUGAAACUCCAAAUCAAAGCGGAAACAAGACAAAACUCAAUUGCAAAAGAUGCUUUCAUUAAACUAUUCACAUAUGUAAGAAGUAGUUUUUGUGAACUUUAGUAAAUAACAACCCCUAGAUUUACCGAAAUUCCCUUGAGAGGGAAGAUACUCGGCCAUCCAAAUUGUACAAGGUUCUUUCAGGAUUUUCAAAUUUCGUCAUUGGAGGUGGAUGCCUCAAAUGUGUCCUUGUGUUUGGGAAAAGGGUUUGUACUUAUACUUGGUCCUUGUUCACCCUUUCCCCUUAGUACUAUUUCCCCAGCCUCGAUCAUGUUUUGGACUUUGUGCUUAAGGGCUUUACAAUCAGCGGUUGAGUGACUAGGUGCUCCCGAAUGAUAGGCACAAGCGGACUGUGGAUUGUAUCCGGCAGGCAUGCCAUAAGGGUAAGUUGGAGGGGGAAUCACACCUAUUUUGCCGGCAGCCUUUAAUUGCUCAUACAACUGGUCCAACGGCCUGCCUAGAUUGGUGAAUGUUCGGGUACGGCUUUGAUUGUAGGUUUCAGUGGGUUGGGGAUAAUCAUAGGUGGGUCUAUUUAGUGGAGGAAAUUGUUGAUUGUAGGGAGGUCGGGGUCGAACUUGUUGAAGGUUAGGUUGAGACACUUGAAAAGAGGCUCUAGGCGGGUUAGUGUAAUUUGGGCGAGGUCGGGGAUGGUUGAUAUUGGUGUUGUAGACUGGGUGAGAAUUUGGAUAGUAAGGGUAAGGGUUUGAGUAGGUAGGGUAUUGUCGAGGUCUGGGUCUUGGGAAAGGGUUUCGAUCCCAGACAAAAGCAACCUCCCCCUUUCUUUUGGAAUUGUUGCUUCUUGGCACUACUACUUUGGCCUUGCAAAGCUUCCACUUGAGUUUUCAGGGCAGACACAUUAACAAUCUUUCCAGCCUUCACAAAAUCAUCGUAUUCUUCAAGCUUAUUGACAAUAGCAGCAAAUGAGCAUCCAGUCAUGCGAAAGAUUUCCUCAAAGUACGGGGGAUCAUGUGCUUUAAUAAAAGUGCAAAUGAUUUCAUCUUCAAUCAUUGGUGGCUCAACCUUUGCAGCUAUUUUCCUCCACCUCUUGGCAUAAGUCUUGUGAUCCUCAGAGGGUUUUCUUUUUGUUCCUUCCAACGUGGUUCGUGUCGGAGCCAACUCGCAGUUAUACUCGUACUGCCUCACAAAAGCAUUGGACAAGUCAAUCCAAGUUUUUACUUCUUCGGGCUUCAAAUUUGAGUACCAAUCGAGGGCAUCCCCCUCCAGACUUUCCGGGAAUAACCUUAGAGGCAGGUUCUCGUCGUCUACUGGUUUUCCCAACUUGUUAGCAAAUAGUUGGAGGUGUGUCUUGGGAUUAUCCGUCCCAUCGUACUUGUUAAACUUAGGGGUUUUGAACCCCUCAGGCAAUUUCACAUUUGGAAAGAGACAAAACUCAUCGUAAUCCAGGACCCCUUGCUUGUUCAACCCCUGACUCUUUCUCAUAAACUCAUCAAAACGGUCAAGAUGUUUGAGCAGCUUUAUAUCAACGGGAGCGGAAGAUUCCUCCAUUUCUGGUUUGGUUUGAACAGUAUAGUCUGGUAGGAAUGGCUCAGCAGCAGUGUGAUAAAAGGUAUGUGGCUCGGGUGGUAUAUUUGGAGUGACAUGAGGUUGUGGACCUCGCAUGUGAGUAGGAAAAAAUGAAGGAUUAGGAGGGUAAGUGUAUGGCAAAUUUGUGGUGGGAUAGGUGAAAGUUUCUUCGGGUGGAAUAAUGAAGGGUGGAGUAAAAGUGGUUUGGGUCGUGGGUAUGCCAAACAAUUCUGGCUCCGGUUGACUGACGGGUACAGGCUCGGGUUGAACUUCGCUGCUGAUAAGCUCAUCAAUUAAUUUCCUUUGGGCCGCCAUCUCAGUGGCCAUCUCACCAAACUUAGUAAGUAUCUCGGUUAGCUGAACCCUUAAACUCGUAGUUUCAGGUUGAGUGGCAGUAGCAGACCUAUCCGAUGGUUCCGGUUGUGAACUCAUGUUUACACGACUUCUCUGGACUUGACUACGGGAUCGUGUUAUGAUAGGGUUUCGACGAGAAGUUAUGUUUAAAUAUUACCUGAGAAUUUUGGAAAGAAUUGCCUUUAGAUUUAGCCCUCGCUUAGCUAUUCCAAUAAAAAUAAAGAAAAGGAAAAGAAAAAGACGAGUUAGUAAAUAUCCAAAAAAUUCGGAUGCAUAUCCUAUGGGGGAACCCUUUUUGUGCCAAGGGUAGGCCUAGAAUGAGAAUGCAAUCCUCCAGAAUAGGCACUAUACAAUACCUGAUGGAUCCAAUCAACUUAUUGAGCGAAGAAUAAUUAAAAAUGAAAAUUGUCCAAUUGGAGUGAGAAAGGGACAUCUGUCCCAAAGAUGAGGACAAAGUCCGAAUGGAUUGCAUGUUUUGAUCAACACAUAAUGUGCAAAAGGGGUAAAAUGGUCAAAUGCAUUGAAUAAAAUUUGAUUAUUUAUUGAAAAUUGAAUGGAUAACCCUGAAAAUGAAUUACACUAAUCAAAUAAAUUGAAUGAAAUCAAUUGAUCAAACGGAUCGAGUGAAAUGAUGAUUUAUUCAAAAUCGACCGAAUUGCCCUAAAAAUAGGUAAACUGGUCAAAUGGAUCGGAAAAUUGACUAAAUCACCCUAAAAAGGGUAAACUGAUCAAAUGAAAUUGAACGAAUCUGAUGAUUUGAAUUUAUUCAAAAUUGAUUGAAUUGACCUAAGAAGGGGUAAACUAAUCAAAUGAAUUGAAUGAAAUUGGUGAUCUUAUUCAAAAAUCGACUAAAUUGCCCUAAAAUGGAUAAACUAGUCAAAUGAAUUCAAAAUCGACUAGGUUGCCCUAAAAAUGAACAAAUUGAUAAAAUGGACUGGAUGAAAUUGAUAAAUAAAAUGAUCCAAUGGACUGAAUGGAAUUGACGGCUUAUUGCGAUGCAUUAGUCUAUCAUAUUUUGGUCUCAGUUUAUUUAUCGUCUCAAUAGCGAGGAAUUAUUUGUAAAUUUCUUCAAAUUAAUGUCCUUUUUGCAAGGGAUUUUUACCAAUUUUGAUAAAGUGGCCAAAAAGUGAUUAUUAGACGCUCAUAUUCCAAAGAUCGCUCUAGGAAAAUGAUCGGAUCCUACCUUACCUUGUGCACUACCCCUUUGGAUGGUACAAAAUGUAAACGUGCAAGUCUCCUUGGAUUAAGUAUCCGAGACACAAGGUAGCUUAUUCCUAACACGGGAUCGCCUAAAUGGCAUUCCCUUUCUAGGGUUUAUGCAUGAUGCCAUUUUAUUAAAGCAGUAAAACAUGCAGUUUGAAAUGAAAUAUGACCUAAGGGACCCUUUAUUUGUCAGGGUAAGCCUAAAAUGAUAUGGCAUUAUUAAUCUAAGAAUGCAAUAUACCAAAAUUUUUAAACGUGCAAUAGCCUAUCUACAAGGGUAAAUUCUAAAAGAAGGUCAUGCCAGACCUCUUAUUUGCUAGGGUUUGUGAAUGCAAUGGGGACAAAACCAAGAAAGUUAGUUCAGCCAUAUAAAUACACAUAACACAUUGUAGCAACGAGAUAAAGCAAUAAAAUCAAUACAAAGAAAUAAAGCAAUAAAAGGGAAAAAGGGGUUGGAUCCCUCCCCUCGUGAAUAGUGUCCCUAACAAGGCAAGGCAGACUCUACCCUAGGCAAGCUAUCAUGGAUGCAUGAGGUAUUGGCUCACUAAUGCAUCUAGACUCGAUAGGUUUUAGGUCCCCGAGCCUUCAGACUUGGAAACCAAGGGUCAUCAAUCCCAAGGUUCUUUGUCGGUGGCUCGAGCGAUUCCCUAAACAUUGCUACGCACACAUCGUGUCACGGCUACAUAUCAUGAGUGAAUCUAUCAAAAAUCCUCAAUUUUCAAUUAAAAGUUAAAGGCUAUGAACCCAAAGCUUAAAAUGGAAGAUUGAGUGACUCCUCGGAUCAUGCUACGCACACAUCGUGUUGCGAUCACAAGUUCAAGUGAGUCGCCUAAAAUCCUAAUAGGGUGGAGUGGCGUGACAAGCCACUAAAAGAAAAAUAAAUGAGGGGUAAAAAAUUAAAGCGUAUGCACGUAUGCUAGUGCUCGUUUGGAGGGGAGGGAUCAAGAACCAACGCGAGGUUCUGGGGUAUGUCCCCCACCCAAAUGCAAUGCAAAGCGCGGAAUCACAUACACCAUCCAUCCAUCAAGUCAAUCAUACGCAAAUGUGAGGGAGUGAGUUGAUAUGCGCGAAAUGCAAAAAUCCUAAAAAAGAAAAAAGAUGCAAUCCUAAACAUCCAAAUGUAAUAGAUAAGAAGGUUAAAAGAAGAAAAUAAUCGACUAAAUCAAAUGCUCGGACUCUCUAAGUCCCCAGUGGAGUCGACAGCUGUCGCUCCCCAUUUUUACAAGAAAAAUAAAUAGUUUAAAAAGUGAAUUUUUUGAUUUGAAAAAUGAUUUUUGAUUUACAAUGAAAAUGGGUCUAAAUGGGACUUGAAAAUGCGACGAUUUGACCCAAAACUUAGUUUAAAAAAGGUUUUUGAAAUAAAAAUCGGAGUCGCCACUUGGUAUAGAGUUAAGGUGUACCAAGUCACCUAAAAAUGAAUUUUUUAAAGAAAAAUAGGAGAAAAACCCUUUUUAAACGACUCCAAGUCUACGUAAAUCAAAGAAAAAGGUUCGGGAGUCACAUUUGAAAAAAGGGAAGGCAAGGACGAAAUCCAAGGCACCCUCUCAACUUAGCCAAGGCUAGUUGCGCGAUUUAGUCAAAGAUUUUCUUGUUUUAACCAAAAGAUUUAUCACAUUCGGAUGUACUAUAUGAAUGCAAAACCUAAACCUAGGGGGGAUUGGGGGGCAAAAUUUCUCUUCAAAAUUUGAAUGGUGCCAAUCACAUUAAUUGUGAUGCCCAAUGCGGAUUCUUUGGAGAGGUCACGAAUAAUGCUAAUGACGUAAAAAUGAGUGGAAUGAAUGUAUGCAAUGUGAGAAUAUGAGUUUGUGUGAAGUGUAAAAAAAUGAUAAAAGAUAAUGGUGUAUAAGUGGGAGUGUGCAAAUGAGUGUGCAAUGUAAGGUGAGUAAAGUGAUAGUAUGAAGUGCAUGUGUGCACGUGAUAGCAUAUAAAGUGCUAGUGGUAGAGUGAGAAUGUGUAAGAUAAGAGUCAUGUGCAAUAUGAAAUGCAUGAGCCCUAGAGGAAUGCAAGCAAGACAGGUACGGGGGACUAAUGUUCGU
rnacentral:lncRNA from 1 species